UGGGGUAACGGCUCACCUAGGCGACGAUCCCUAGCUGGUCUGAGAGGAUGACCAGCCACACUGGAACUGAGACACGGUCCAGACUCCUACGGGAGGCAGCAGUGGGGAAUAUUGCACAAUGGGCGCAAGCCUGAUGCAGCCAUGCCGCGUGUAUGAAGAAGGCCUUCGGGUUGUAAAGUACUUUCAGCGGGGAGGAAGGGAGUAAAGUUAAUACCUUUGCUCAUUGACGUUACCCGCAGAAGAAGCACCGGCUAACUCCGUGCCAGCAGCCGCGGUAAUACGGAGGGUGCAAGCGUUAAUCGGAAUUACUGGGCGUAAAGCGCACGCAGGCGGUUUGUUAAGUCAGA
rnacentral:rRNA from 1 species